rnacentral:rRNA from 1 species
ACGCUCGACACCUACGGGAAGCAGCAGUGGGGAAUAUUGCACAAUGGGGGAAACCCUGAUGCAGCGACGCCGCGUGGAGGAAGAAGGUCUUCGGAUUGUAAACUCCUGUUGUUGGGGAAAAAGAGGAUGGUACCCAACAAGGAAGUGACGGCUAACUACGUGCCAGCACGCCGUACGGUAAUCUGAGGCGGGCUGGACAAGGC